AAUUGGUCACUUGAGGCAUGUUGCUAAUAAAAUAUUGGAGAGGGAAAGAAGUAAAGAGAUUUAGGUUCAAAAGAGCAUAAGCAGAAAGAGUAAAGACUGCGGCGAGGGGGAAAAAGAGUUGUUCCUGGUUAGACAGCAUUGUCAAUAUUGUUGUAAUGAUUACCCUAUAUUGAACUCUAACUCGUCUCCAACCUAUGAGAGUUCAACUUACAAUUUUUUAACUUUAUGAUGGUGCAAAAAUGAGUCACAUUCAGCAUGCUUCUCAACCUAUGACAUGGUUACAUUUGAUAACCCACUGUAAGUUGAAACUAUUGUACAAUAUUUGGCAUCUGUAAUACCAAGUGAUUUACAUACAUUAUUAUUAUUUUUUGCAAUAAUACUGCAAUGUUACCAUUAUUAUUUCCAUAUUGCAGACAAUGAAAAAGAGUUAGAGAAAUUUGCCUAAAGUUAUAAAGUUACCAUGGUAGGGAGCUUCUGACAUGCCUCUCAAUGAUCUCCUCUCCGGGUGUUCAGACCAUCUGCUCCCGUAUGGGCUGGACUAGUGGCUUGCUUCCAAGGAAUAUAACAUGGUAUAAGCAAUGGGAUAUCAUUUUCAAAAUUAGGUUAUAAAAGAUUGAUUUCUCUCCUCAUUCUCUCUCUUUCUGGUACUUCCUCUUGCCUUCUGAUUUUCUCACUCUGGUGAAGCCAGCUGCCAUGUUGUGAGAUGCCCUAUAGAGUAGCCUAUGUGUCAAGGAACCAAAGGAGACCACCAGCUAACAGCUCAUGAGAGAUGAAGGCCUCUGUCCAACACCCUGCAAUGAACUGAAUCCAUCCAACAACCACAGAAAUAAACUUGCAAGUGGGUUCCCCAGAACAUCGAAGGCAUUGCACCAUUGCCUUCCAGCAUCCAGUGUUGUUGCUGAGAAGACUGCUGCCAAUUGGAUCUGAAAUUUUCUUUGGAAGUGUACCAGGAGGGAGGGUACAAGAAGACCAGGCAAUUAUGGAGUGGCUGAGGAAAGAAGGGACCAGAGGAGGAGAGAGAAGACUUGGGUGCAAUGCUGAGCUGAAUGGAGAAGAACCUGGUGAGUUCUUCCUUGAGGCCCAGGUUGUGAUACUGUAAUUCUCUAAUUACCUCAGAGCUAAAACUAUUUUAUUUGUCUAGAAAUGACAUG
rnacentral:lncRNA from 1 species